AAAUUGAAGAGUUUGAUCAUGGCUCAGAUUGAACGCUGGCGGCAGGCCUAACACAUGCAAGUCGAACGGUAACAGGAAGCAGCUUGCUGCUUUGCUGACGAGUGGCGGACGGGUGAGUAAUGUCUGGGAAACUGCCUGAUGGAGGGGGAUAACUACUGGAAACGGUGGCUAAUACCGCAUAACGUCGCAAGACCAAAGAGGGGGACCUUCGGGCCUCUUGCCAUCAGAUGUGCCCAGAUGGGAUUAGCUUGUUGGUAAGGUAACGGCUCACCAAGGCGACGAUCCCUAGCUGGUCUGAGAGGAUGACCAGCCACACUGGAACUGAGACACGGUCCAGACUCCUACGGGAGGCAGCAGUGGGGAAUAUUGCACAAUGGGCGCAAGCCUGAUGCAGCCAUGCCGCGUGUAUGAAGAAGGCCUUCGGGUUGUAAAGUACUUUCAGCGGGGAGG
rnacentral:rRNA from 1 species